rnacentral:sRNA from 1 species
UACACUGUAUAUGUAUAUGAGAUAAUCAGAAAAAAAGGGAAAAAAAAUCAAUAUAUGUUGAAAAAACGUAUACGAUAUAUAUCAAGUUUUAUGGGGAAAAAAAUGUUACAUGUACACCGUACGUACAUUUAAACAUGUAUGUGUUAAUAAAAAAAAGUGAGAGAAAAUAAAUCCUUGCAUUGAUAAUUUACAUGUGAUUUUUUUUUUUAUAUUUUGGCCCACACAUAACAAAGGGUUUCCCUACCAUCAGUCAAAGUCUGUGUCCAUGUUAGAAACCCUUGUAUACAACAGAGGGACUGUCUCCCUCGGAGGGUGGGCGUAUAUAAAUAUAUAUAUACAUACAUAAUAGAUAUAAGCAUAAGUACAUAUUCAUAGCAUAAAUGAAUAUUCAUAGUAAAAAUGCAAAAUUUUGAAAAAGUUUCUUUUCUUUCAUUUGAUGUAAAAAAGAUAGAACAGAACAAUAAGAUAAAGUAUUCUCUUUAAUAUACAUUCUUAACGAUUGGCUUGUUUCUUCUAAGUUUUCGACUCUACAGAACAUUUUAUAUUUGUAAAUUCUGAAUGCAAUAAAUGAGAGGAAGAUAUUAUAAAGCUUUGUUGUUUCGUUAUCAUCAACAAAAAAGCCAACAAUGACAUUUUUCCAAACAAUAUUAAAAUUUAAGCAUUGGCUUGCCAUAUGCCAAACAUGUUUUACAUUUACACAAUCAAAAAUUAGAUGCUGUGCAUUUUCUAUCUCGGUUCUACAUAUUUUGCAUUUGUUAUUUACCCCUUUAUUCCACUUACUGAUUAACAGAUUAUUACUUAGUAAAUUGUUUAGAAGUUUAUAAUUAAAUUCCGCAAUACUUUUAUCUUUGACAUUUUUAAUUUUGUUGAAAUAUAUUGAUUUCCAAAUUUCCUUAUCUUGGAUCUGGAAAUCCCUACCAAGCUUUCCUUGUGAAAUUGGACUUUGAAAUUUGAGCUUUACAAGCUUCGAAUAAAAACAUUUAGUUUUGU